AUUGAACGCUGGCGGAAUGCUUUACACAUGCAAGUCGAACGAUGAAGUCUAGCUUGCUAGACGGAUUAGUGGCGAACGGGUGAGUAAUACAUCGGAACGUACCUUAUCGUGGGGGAUAACGCAGCGAAAGCUGUGCUAAUACCGCAUACGCCCUGAGGGGGAAAGCGGGGGAUCGCAAGACCUCGCGCGAUUAGAGCGGCCGAUGCCUGAUUAGCUUAUUGGUGGGGUAAAAGCCCACCAAGGCGACGAUCAGUAGCUGGUCUGAGAGGACGAUCAGCCACACUGGGACUGAGACACGGCCCAGACUCCUACGGGAGGCAGCAGUGGGGAAUUUUGGACAAUGGGGGCAACCCUGAUCCAGCAAUGCCGCGUGAGUGAAGAAGGCCUUCGGGUUGUAAAGCUCUUUUGUCAGGGAAGAAACACCGGCUCUAACACAGUCCGGGAAUGACGGUACCUGAAGAAUAAGCACCGGCUAACUACGUGCCAGCAGCCGCCGUAA
rnacentral:rRNA from 1 species